GACGAACGCUGGCGGCGUGCUAAUGCAUGCAAGUCGAACGAGGCCCCAUGGACGGGCAACCGUCCCGGGGUCCUAGUGGCGAACGGGUGAGUAACACGUGAGGAACCUGCCCCGGAGUCCGGGAUAGCCCAGGGAAACCUGGAUUAAUACCGGAUAUCCUCGAUCGGUCGCAUGUCUGAUCGAGGAAAGGUCCGCCGCUCCGGGAUGGCCUCGCGGCCUAUCAGCUUGUUGGUGAGGUAACGGCUCACCAAGGCAACGACGGGUAGCUGGUCUGAGAGGACGAUCAGCCACACUGGGACUGGGACACUGCCCAGACUCCUACGGGAGGCAGCAGCAGGGAAUAUUGCACAAUGGGCGAAAGCCUGAUGCAGCGACGCCGCGUGAGGGAUGAAGGCCUCCGGGUUGUAAACCUCUUUCAGGAGGGAAGAAGCGCAAGUGACGGUACCUCCAGAAGAAGCCCCGGCCAACUACGUGCCAGCCGCCGCGGUAAAAC
rnacentral:rRNA from 1 species